AUGAACGCUGGCGGCGUGCCUAAUCCCUGCAAGUCGCGCGAACGGACGAGAAGCUUGCUUUUCUGAUGUUAGCGGCGGACGGGUGAGUAACCCGUGGAUAACCUACCUAUAAGACUGGGAUAACUUCGGGAAACCGGAGCUAAUACCGGAUAAUAUUUUGAACCGCCUGGUUCAAAAGUGAAAGACGGUCUUGCUGUCACUUAUAGAUGGAUCCGCGCUGCAUUAGCUAGUUGGUAAGGUAACGGCUUACCAAGGCAACGAUGCAUAGCCGACCUGAGAGGGUGAUCGGCCACACUGGAACUGAGACACGGUCCAGACUCCUACGGGAGGCAGCAGUAGGGAAUCUUCCGCAAUGGGCGAAAGCCUGACGGAGCAACGCCGCGUGAGUGAUGAAGGUCUUCGGAUCGUAAAACUCUGUUAUUAGGGAAGAACAUAUGUGUAAGUAACUGUGCACAUCUUGACGGUACCUAAUCAGAAAGCCACGGCUAACUACGUG
rnacentral:rRNA from 1 species